rnacentral:rRNA from 1 species
AUAAGCAACGUGCCCCAAAGACUGGGAUAGUCGAGGGAAACCACGGGUAAUACCAGAUGUGGUCCUUAGAUGGCAUCAUCGAGGGAUUAAAUGGAGCAAUCGGCUUUGGGAGCGGCUUAUGUCCUAUCAGCUUGUUGGUGAAGUAACGGCUCACCAAGGCUACGACGGGUAGGGGGUUUGAGAUCAUGAUCCCCCCGAGUGGGACUGCGACACGGCC